UACGGAGGAUGCAAGCGUUAUCCGGAAUGAUUGGGCGUAAAGCGUCCGCAGGGGGCUAUGUAAGUCUGCUGUUAAAGAGUGAGGCUCAACCUCAUAAGAGCAGUGGAAACUACAUGGCUAGAGUGCGUUCGGGGCAGAGGGAAUUCCUGGUGUAGCGGUGAAAUGCGUAGAGAUCAGGAAGAACACCGGUGGCGAAAGCGCUCUGCUAGGCCGCAACUGACACUCAUGGACGAAAGCUAGGGGAGCGAAUGGG
rnacentral:rRNA from 1 species